rnacentral:rRNA from 1 species
GGAGUUAGCCGGUGCUUCUUCUGUGAGUGAUGUCCUUCCUGCCGGCUAUUAACCCGCAGGCCUUCUUCCUCACUGAAAGUGCUUUACAACCCGAAGGCCUUCUUCACACACGCGGCAUGGCUGGAUCAGGGUUGCCCCCAUUGUCCAAUAUUCCCCACUGCUGCCUCCCGUAGGAGUCUGGGCCGUGUCUCAGUCCCAGUGUGGCUGAUCAUCCUCUCAGACCAGCUACGGAUCGUCGCCUUGGUGAGCCGUUACCUCACCAACCAGCUAAUCCGACAUAGGCUCAUCCGAUAGCGCGAGGCCCGAAGGUCCCCCGCUUUCCCCCGUAGGGCGUAUGCGGUAUUAGCCUGGGUUUCCCCAGGUUAUCCCCCACUACCGGGCAGAUUCCUAUGCAUUACUCACCCGUCCGCCGCUCGCCACCAGGGAGCAAGCUCCCCGUGCUGCCGCUCGACUUGCAUGUGUUAGCGUCGCCGCCACGCGUUCAUCUGAGCCAGAAUACAACUACUGA